CAAGUCGAACGAGAAAGUGGAGCAAUCCAUGAGUAAAGUGGCGACCGGGUGAGUAACACGUGACUAACCUACCCUAAAGUGGGGGAUAACUCCGGGAAACCGGGGCUAAUACCGCAUAACGUCGCGAGGGGAAGAUCCUUGCGAUCAAAGGAGCAAUUCGCUGAAGGAGGGGGUCGCGGCUGAUUAGCUAGUUGGUGAGGUAACGGCCCACCAAGGCAAAGAUCAGUAUCCGGCCUGAGAGGGCGCACGGACACACUGGAACUGAAACACGGUCCAGACUCCUACGGGAGGCAGCAGUGGGGAAUUUUGCGCAAUGGGGGAAACCCUGACGCAGCAACGCCGCGUGGAGGAUGAAGUCCCUUGGGAUGUAAACUCCUUUCGAUCGGGACGAUUAUGACGGUACCGGAAGAAGAAGCACCGGCUAACUCUGUGCCAGCAGCCGCGGUAAUACAGAGGGUGCAAGCGUUGUUCGGAAUUAUUGGGCGUAAAGGGCGCGUAGGCGGUGCGGUAAGUCUGUAGUGAAAUCUCUGGGCUCAACUCAGAGUCUGCUGCAGAAACUGCCGUGCUUGAGUGUGGGAGAGGUGAGUGGAAUUCCCGGUGUAGCGGUGAAAUGCGUAGAUAUCGGGAGGAACACCUGUGGCGAAAGCGGCUCACUGGACCACAACUGACGCUGAGGCGCGAAAGCUAGGGGAGCAAACAGGAUUAGAUACCCUGGUAGUCCUAGCCCUAAACGAUGAUCGCUUGGUGUAUUGGGUACCCAAUCCCAAUGUGCCGGAGCUAACGCGUUAAGCGAUCCGCCUGGGGAGUACGGUCGC
rnacentral:rRNA from 1 species